rnacentral:rRNA from 1 species
CAAGCGGUGGAGCAUGUGGUUAAUUCGAUGCAACGCGAAGAACCUUACCAGGUCUUGACAUCCCACGAAUUCAUCUGAAAGGAUGGAGUGCCUUCGGGAGUGUGGAGACAGGUGGUGCAUGGUUGUCGUCAGCUCGUGUCGUGAGAUGUUGGGUUAAGUCCCGCAACGAGCGCAACCCUUGCUAUUAGUUGCUAACAGGUAGAGCUGAGCACUCUAAUGGGACUGCCGGUGACAAGCCGGAGGAAGGUGGGAUGACGUCAAAUCAUCAUGCCCUUUAUGACCUGGGCUACACACGUGCUACAAUGGGUGGUACAAAGAGAUGCAAUCUCGCAAGAGCAAGCAAACCUCAAAAAGCCAUCCUCAGUUCGGAUUGGAGUCUGCAACUCGACUCCAUGAAGUCGGAAACGCUAGUAAUCGCGGAUCAGCACGCCGCGGUGAAUACGUUCCCGGGCCUU